UACGUAGGUGGCAAGCGUUGUCCGGAUUUACUGGGCGUAAAGAGCGCGCAGGCGGUCGGAUAAGUCGAAUGUGAAAGCCCCCGGCUCAACUGGGGAGGGUCAUUCGAUACUGUUCGACUCGAAGGCAGGAGAGGGAAGUGGAAUUCCCGGUGUAGUGGUGAAAUGCGUAGAUAUCGGGAGGAACACCAGUGGCGAAGGCGGGUCUCUGGGCAGUAACUGACGCUGAGGAGCGAAAGCGUGGGGAGCGAACAGG
rnacentral:rRNA from 1 species